rnacentral:lncRNA from 1 species
GGGGCAAGUGACCCAUAGUCUUAAAGAACAGGCUAAUCACUGCAGAGAGAUUGGUUGCUUUUUGCCUUUCGUCAGCUGCAAGAUUUACAUAAAAAUCACUUAAGCUGGAAUUCAACAAAAGGGCUGCACCCGAAGUACAUGGAAGUUCCUGGGCUAAGGCAUGCCAGAUCCAAGCCUUGGCUGUGACCUACACUGCAGCUCAUGGCAACGCUAGAUCCUUAACCCACUGAGUGGGGCCAGGGAUCGAACCUGCAUCCUCAUGGAUACUAGUCGGGUUCAUUACUGCUCAGCCACGACAGGAACUCCCCUCAGUCUGCCUCCUGUUGGAUACCUAAGCUCAGAAAAAGCAGAUACUUCUGCCUCUUCUCUGCGGUUAUAUCUAGCGCCGUGUGACUUGUGUGGCUCAUAGAAACCCAGAGCGCUUGGGUUAGGAAAUGUGGACUUGGCCAUCACCCCUUCUUUUUUUGUGUUUUUUUUUUUUUUUUUUUUUCCCUUUUUCAGCCACCCUGCAGCAUAUGGAGUUCUUGGGCCAGGGACCAGAUCUGAGCCACAGUUGCGAUCUAUGUUGCAGCUGUGACAACUGCAGUGCUGGAGCCUUUAACCCUCUGUGCCAGGCCGGGGAUUGAGCGUGCAUCCUGGCACUGCAGAGAUGUUACCAAUCCCACUGAGCCACCGUGGGAACUCCACACUGGCUUAAUGUGGGAUCUCAGUUCCUAGACCAAGGAUCGAACCCAGGCUGCAGCUGUAAAAGCACUGGGUCCUUAACCCCUAGGCCACUGGGGAAGUCCUGGCCAUCACCACUUCUCGCUGGCCUCCACUCGAUCGAUGCCUCUUGUCUUCGCUGUUCCUUUGGUUGUCAGUCCGGACGGGCCGGCUGUGAGAUCUUUGAGGGCCUCUCAGAUCUAGCCAAGUCCGUGCUUUGGUGCUCUUCCUGAGCACACAGACCUGUAUGUUCCCAGGCUGUGCCAUGGCCUCUCACUUCCUGGAUCACCCUCAGAAACAUGAGCCCAUUCUGUCAACUGGAUGAGGCUCUCCGAGAUACAGCAUGCGGGCCUUUCUUCUGUGGGGUCUCAGUGUGCCUCCCAGGCUUCAGGAGAGACAGAGGCACAAAUUCCUCCGACAGUGGAGUUUAGGGUCCUUGAGGAGCCCUGUCCUUCUACCUGCACGUGGGCCUCUUUGCAGACCUGGUUGCACAUAAGAUCUCCUGGGCUCCGACUCGUCUUCCUCCCCAUCCCCUGGGGAACUGUUAUUCAGCAGUUGGUGUCAUUCAGCUGGCGGGUGGGAGGAGGUGUGGGGGCAUCUGGCUCUAACCCCAUCCUGUCAUCUCUUUGUCCUGAGGCCUCGGCUUUGGAAACUUGAAAACUUUUACUUUGCUUUUUCAUCCUUUUGGUGAAGAAUCUCAUAGUGCUAAAAUGGAGCCGAAGUGGGGGGUUCUAGAGAAGUGCUGUUAAUAUUUCAAAAUAUCCUUAUCCUAUUGUAAUAGUGUUCAUCACCUUAUUGGGAUAAUCAUAUUUAUCACAGUAACGGAAAACUUCUACCUUCCUUUUAUAUCACAUUCUAAAUCAUAGCAUAACCCUGGAGAAAAGAUGAUGGAAGGACCUCGACUUGCCUGAGCUUAGGUAUAUACCAGCAGGCAGAGUGAGGGUUCACAAUGUAAAUUAAGUUGAGCAAUAGAAACAAAAAUAUGUGCGUUGAAAUAUGCACUUAGUACACCAAGAACAAGGCAUGCCCAGGGUCCCUUGAAGGCACAGUACAGGGGAGAGAAUGGGAACUCGGCGUCUGGUGACUGCAGCAAUUAAAUGAUUGAUGCUGACAGAUUUCCUUUCUCUAGUGCACCCUGUGUGCCAGGUACAAGCUCAUCUUCUUGGCAAUCUUACAAGAGAGGCAUUAUUUCCCUCAUUUAUACUCGAGGAAAGCAAUCAAGGCUCAGAGAGGCAGCAUCUUUUGCCCCAAAUCAAACAGCUAAGAAUAGCAAAUACAGAAUUCUAACUCAGAUAUGUUUGAUUCCAAAUCCUGAAUUCUUUCCUCCGGGCACCCCGUGUAAUCAGUUUUAUUCGACCUUUGAGGUGCUUACAGGUGCAAGGUUUCAUGCAAGACACAUAUGUUUAUGUGUAUAUGCAGACGUAUAUAUGAUAAAGUCUCUUGCCUUCUAGGGACUUGAAUGCAUUUUCCAACCACCAGGAAGAAUUUGUUUAAAUAUAUUCUCUUGCUCUGCUAUUUUUAAGAUUUUUGUGUUCGUUUCUGUUAGGCUUAUUGAUCCAUCUAACAUUUACUGCCUCGCUUAAUAAAUAUCACCAGUUUACGCUUGGAACCUUAACACCUGCAACCAUGGUAUUUUUCCACCAAAUGAUGUAUUUAUCAUUUAAGCCAUUUAGGCAUUGGUGAGGGUGAAGGAAAAAAAUGUUUGUGUGAAUUAUGUGGGGAUAAAUGUUUUCUUUUUGCACUGCCUGGCAAGAUGGUGGCAGUAUUUUUUACAAAUAAGAUAUGUAAUUGUGUGUCUAUUCCAAGCAGCCUGUUUAUAUUUUCCCCCAGGGUUUGACUUUCUUAGAUGUCUGAAACACUCGGAGGGGAGGGAGGGAAUGCCAUAAAUUUUUACAAACAGACAUUGUCCUUGUUUCCCAGGCAAAUUCAAUGCACCUUCUGUUGGGUAAUUGGAAUCCAAGAAGUAACAUGGAGUGUUUUAACAAAAUGUGAAUGAGCUGUAUUUAUAAUGGAAAGGCAGAGAUUUAGAAACCCAAACUAUUUAUGUGAAAGAAAGUGAUUAAAAAGACUCUGAUUUCUGAGAGAUCAGAGUAUGUCGACUCCGUUGUAGAAUUUGGCGUUUAACCCGGUAAACCUAGGUAAAUGUGAAUAAACAUUUCCAGAAGACCGUUCCCACACCCUCUUUAUUUCUGGUGCAGAGUCCCACUGCAUUUUGCUGGUAAGGCCUUCUCUUCUUUUUGGGAUGUUGGUGAAAAACUGUACCAUUAAAAAUGUGCUAUUAAAAAAAGGGCACCUCAGA